AACUCGACUGUCACAGAUCACC
rnacentral:piRNA from 1 species